CCGCUCAAGAAGGAGUGCAUGCGGAGUUUAGAGGAUUCAACGAGUGCUUGCACAAGAAGAGACAAGCAAGAGGCUGUACGCCAUCCGUCAGCAGCGUGAUAAGAUGAUUAAGGAGGGGACGUACACCCCGCCGCCCUGCCACUCAGGACAGGCUAACCCGUCUCCAUGAGGCAGCAGCUCUGCACAGGUCUUCCUGUUCUCAUCAGCUAGCCAUAUUUCCUGUUCCCUGUACAAUUUAGCUAAUAAAUGUUAUUAUUAAAUAUCUAACCAUUCACGUCACGUCUUCUUUUUUCACUUCAUGCUGUGUGUGAAGAAGAAAAGAUUGAAAACAUCUCAGUACUUUUAAUAACUUAUAAUAAAAAUACAAAAACGUAA